AGUUGGGAGGAAGCUGGGCUGGAAAUACAGCUGAGAGCCUCUGUUGACAGAUGGAUGCCUUCUUAAUCACAGCCUGUGACACCCACACGACUAGGAGGAGGCAGAAAGUGAACAGGGAGCUCUUAUUACUUUUUGAGUGUCAGCAAGGAGAGAAUGGAGUUGCAGCAGACUGCUCAGGAAUUGUACAUCACCAGUAGCUUCCGUCUCAGCUAAGUGUGGGAGACUGAUACUGAUGAGCCAUUAACAAUGGUGGAGAUUCUGAAUCACUGAAGCACUUGAUAAAAGAAAUGUCCUGGGUGAUGUGAAAAUCUACAUAUGCCCAUGAGAGUAUAUUGAGUUUGUAAGUGUUGUUGCUUAGGGUGUCACAGAGAAGUUUAUGAGAAACUAUUUUGGAGUAAUAAACAACACAGAAGAACAC